GGUAAUUAGUUUAAUUAAAACAAAUGAUUUCGACUCAUUAGACUAUAAUAAAUAUUAUAAUUACCA
rnacentral:tRNA from 1 species